UGACCCAACACGGGGAAACUCACCAGGUCCAGAUGAAAUAAGGAUUGACAGAUUGAGAGCUCUUUCUUGAUUUUUCAGGUGGUGGUGCAUGGCCGUUCUUAGUUGGUGGAGUGAUUUGUCUGGUUGAUUCCGUUAACGAACGAGACCACAGCCUGCUAAAUAGUGCGCGUUGUGGCGACACAGUGAGGGGCACUUCUUAGAGGGACACUUUGGGUUUACCAGAGGGAAGUUUGUGGCAAUAACAGGUCUGUGAUGCCCUUAGAUGUUCUGGGCCGCACGCGCGCUACACUGACAGAGCCAGCGA
rnacentral:rRNA from 1 species